rnacentral:rRNA from 1 species
CCUACGGGAGGCAGCAGUGAGGAAUAUUGGUCAAUGGGCUUACGCCUGAACCAGCCAAGUCGCGUGAGGGAAGACUGCCCUAUGGGUUGUAAACCUCUUUUGUCAGGGAGAAACGCCGGCUACGUGUAGCCGGACUGAGAGUACCUGAAGAAAAAGCAUCAGCUAACUUCGGGCCAGCAGCCGCGGUAAUACGGGGGAUGCGAGCGUUAUGCGGAUUUAUUGGGGUUAAAGGGUGCGUUGGCGGAAUGCCAAGUCAGCGGUAAAAUCGCGGGGCUCAACCUCGCUCCGCCGUUGAAACUGGCGUGCUUGAGUGGGCGAGAAGUAUGCGGAAUGCGUGGUGUAGCGGUGAAAUGCAUAGAUAUCACGCAGAACUCCGAUUGCGAAGGCAGCAUACCGGCGCCCAACUGACGCUGAAGCACGAAAGCGUGGGUAUCGAACAGGAUUAGAUACCCUUGUAGUC